rnacentral:rRNA from 1 species
AACGAACGCUGGCGGCAUGCCUAACACAUGCAAGUCGAACGAGACCUUCGGGUCUAGUGGCGCACGGGUGCGUAACGCGUGGGAACCUGCCCUUAGGUUCGGAAUAACUCCCCGAAAGGGGUGCUAAUACCGUAUAAUGUCUUCGGACCAAAGAUUUAUCGCCUUUGGAUGGGCCCGCGUUGGAUUAGCUAGUUGGUAGGGUAAAAGCCUACCAAGGCUACGAUCCAUAGCUGGUCUGAGAGGAUGAUCAGCCACACUGGGACUGAGACACGGACCAGACUCCUACGGGAGGCAGCAGUGGGGAAUAUUGGACAAUGGGCGAAAGCCUGAGCCAGCAAUGCCGCGUGAGUGAUGAAGGCCUUAGGGUUGUAAAGAUCUUUUACCCGGGAUGAUAAUGACAGUACCGGGAGAAUAAGCUCCGGCUAACUCCGUG